ensembl:lncRNA
AAUCAGUGGUUCAGGCCAGGACUCAACAGUUCCUGUACAGAAAAAAAAAAGUCUGCAGCCUUCUUUUACAGAGACUGAUUGUUAGCAGAUAUAUGAGCAUUUAGGAAAGUCCUUCAUCUCAAUUAGUGCAGGAAACAAAACUGCAGAAAUAAUACCAGGAGAAAUUUUCCUCCAGUCUUUGGUGGCAACAACAGGCACUGACCCUUCAAAAACGAUUUGUUUGGGUUGAAAGGUAGUGAGAAACAGAAGUCCUAGCAACGUAAUCUGUGAUUUCACUGCUAAACAGCUCAAGACAUCCAGAAGGACACCAGGAGAUUUGUUCAGCUAAGCAGUAAACAACCCCUACACACAACAGGAACAUGUGCAAAGCAAACUACACCUGCAUGUUCCUCUCCAAAUUGCCAGAGGCUGUUAGAACAACUGCAUCUCAUUUUAGGAAGGAAGGAACAAGGAAGCACAAGAAUAUUGCAUCAUUUUCCAGAGCAAGUUGUUAAAAUUCUGCAUGAAGAGAAAAUAUCAUCUGAUGUACAAUCAACAACUAAAAUUAAACUCACAUUUAACAUGACAAUAAAAAAGGAGGCAUCCAAGCUUCUGUUCUUUGCAGGUAUUUUUAAGGUUUAAGCUUGUUCAGGUGCUGGCAAUGAAAUUAAAAGACAAAGAAGCAGGUGCCACGUUACUAAGUUUUAUUGUCCACACUGUUAUCUGAAGUCACCCUGAAGCAGUGGGUAAAGAGUUCUUCUGCCUUUAAGAAAAUUUUAAGUUUUGCAGGGAGAGACAGCAGGUAUCAGCCUGGAAUAACCUCCUCUAUCUGUGAGAGUGUGACACUAUGGUAUGGAAAGCAAAACUUGUGAUAGACCGAUCACCAACACCCAGGGCAGGGAGUAUCUUAAUUUGUUAAAUGACUGAUUAAAUGCCAUCAUUGGAAUGAGCAUUCUUGGUUUAUAAGUGGUUUUCAAUCAUUCAUUUUACUACUGAACAAUGUCUCAGGGAAUUUUCAGUCUACAAUCUCCCUUUCAAAGGAAUUCUUUAGGCAAAAAUCUGCUCAUUAUCCCAUGAUCACCAACGAUUUCAUAAUAUUAACAGCAGAACGCACAGACAAGGGCAAUUUUUCUUGUUCACUAAUAUGACUAUGGCAACUGUAAGUUUUACAGAAAAGUGACAUCUAACCUGUGCAGUUUUACAGAUCCUUACAGCAGGGGAUAUGAAUGAAUGUGAGUGACAUAGCAAAGCAAGAAAAUACUCUCCUGUAGGUAGGUUUCUGAAGGCCAACUGUUGGCCUGCAGCAACAGCAGUGACAAUUAUCCUAAGGACAAAAGAAUCUGUAGCUGUUUUAAUAAUAAUUUAGUUGCUGUUCUUCCAAUUAAAAUAUUUUAUUG